GGCGAGUGGCGAACGGGUGAGUAAUAUAUCGGGAACGUGCCCAGUCGUGGGGGAUAACGUAGCGAAAGCUACGCUAAUACCGCAUACUAUCUAUGGAUGAAAGCGGGGGAUCGCAAGACCUCGCGCGAUUGGAGCGGCCGAUAUCAGAUUAGGUAGUUGGUGAGGUAAAGGCUCACCAAGCCGACGAUCUGUAGCUGGUCUGAGAGGACGACCAGCCACACUGGGACUGAGACACGGCCCAGACUCCUACGGGAGGCAGCAGUGGGAAUUUUGGACAAUGGGCGCAAGCCUGAUCCAGCAAUGCCGCGUGAGUGAAGAAGGCCUUCGGGUUGUAAAGCUCUUUUGUCAGGGAAGAAACGGUGAGGGCUAAUAUCCUUUGCUAAUGACGGUACCUGAAGAAUAAGCACCGGCUAACUACGUG
rnacentral:rRNA from 1 species